GGAGCACAGGCUCUACAUGAUCCAAGGAAAGCAGUCCCACUUGCUGACAAGAGAGUGAAAGUGACGUGGACUCUGCAUUAACUUAUCAGUGAAAAUGCUGCACAUCAAUGGAGAGAGAUGAAAGACAAACAGGAUGCAGUAUUGGAUAUCAGAAGUGCAAUGCUGCAGCCUUGAUCUACAGGAGCAGAAACAAGACUUGCCUGGCACCACGACAUUAACCCUUCAAGAAAUCAUCUAAACUGACCAACACCCUGGAAUUCACUGGGAGGCACGGUCCUGAAUUUGUUCCUGCACAUAUUAAAGGAUAAUUUUGUCUUUUAAAAACACUGGAGGGAGAAAUCUUGUCGCUCAGGGGAGCCAUGGGGUCUCUUCCUGGUGCAAACUCUGCAGUCUGUGGACAAAGAAGAUAUAGAUGUUACUCAGAUGGCUGUCUUGCCUCAAAACAUGCAGUGAUCACCUCAAAUAGCUCACCUCAAAUUGGGUCAUUGCUUGAGAACUCAUAUUAUGAAAUAGUUUUAGAACAAAUUGAUUUAUAUGUUCACAAAUAGAUCAAAUAAACAUUUCCUUGUGUAU